rnacentral:rRNA from 1 species
GGACCCGCACAAGCGGUGGAGCAUGUGGUUUAAUUCGAUGCAACGCGAAAAACCUUACCUAUACUUGACAUACUUGGAAUGCUUUGUAAUGAAGCAGUGCCUUCGGGAGCCAAGAUACAGGUGCUGCAUGGCUGUCGUCAGCUCGUGUCGUGAGAUGUUCCGUUAAGUCGGAUAACGAGCGCAACCCUUACCCUUAUUUGCCAGCGAUUCGGUCGGGAACUAUAAGGGGACUGCCGGUGAUAAACCGGAGGAAGGUGAGGACGACGUCAAGUCAUCAUGGCCCUUACGUAUAGGGCUACACACGUGCUACAAUGGAGAAUACAGACGGACGCUAAGCCGCGAGUGGUGCUAA